rnacentral:sRNA from 2 species
AUUAUUUUCAAUUUUUAUUUUCUUUUUUAAUUUUUUAAUAUUUAAAUAAUUCACUCUUUUGUUCAUGAAAUUUUCCUUUUUCAUUAAAAGUUUCUGUUCUUUUAGAUUGUUUGAUAAGAAAGAAAAUGUUUAUGAAAUAAAUAAAUCAACAUAUAUAUAAUAUUGUAGAAAGAAUUAUAUAAAAGUUGAGUAUGGAGAGAUAUACAGUAUAUGUGAAAUAUAUGUAUAGUCUAAGGUUUUUAUCCAUAAAAAAUAAAAUCUGGAUGUUUUAUAUAAUAAAUUAACGUUUAUACAGCUAAAUGUUAAAUUUAUAAUGGAAAUUCCAUUAAAUAAAUAUGUACACCCCUCACCCCUCUUUUAUUCUGUGUAAUAAAUGUAACAAAGAAGUGUUGAUGAUUACUGAUAAUUGUAUAGGAAAGACAAUUGUGCAAAUAUAUAUAUAUAUAUAUAUAUAUAUAUAUAUAUAUUGUUCUUAUAGUAAUUAAAUAUAUUACACAAUUAUAUAAUAUUUAGUUAAUAUGUAUAUAUUGUGUAUAUAUAUAUAAUCAUAACUUUUGAGUUAUAUAUAUUACGUAAGUAUAAAAGGGGGUGGUGGUGGUGGAAAUGUUAUUGAAUAUAUCACAAAUGUUGUGUGAAAUACAUGAUACUUAAGGUAUAUGUAGAGUAUUUUUUGUAAGCCAUUUUAAAGGUUUUACGCGCCUUUAAAGGUAGAGAUAUAGUAAAUAUAUUUUAAUUGUUCGGUUUAAUUUUUACUGUUCAAUAUGAUGAAGAUAUAUAAAGAUCUUUUAUUUCGUAAGAAAUAUUAGGUUGAGCUAUCUCUAAAUAGAUUUCAUAGUAGUAAGUUGUGUAUACUAUAAUUUAUUUUGUAGUACACAUUUUUGCCAUUAUGAAAUUUAUAUGUGAAAAGUCGUAUGUGUAUGUUUAGAAUGCAGGGUUACACAUGUGUACCCUUUUGUUUAAAAGCCUUGUAAAGGUUUUACGCGCCUUUAAAGGUGGGGAGGCAAAUAUAUUUUAAUUGUUCGGUUUAUUUUUUACUGUUCAAUAGGAUGAAGAUAUAUAAAGAUCUUUUAUUUCAUAAGAAAUAUUAGGUUGAGCUAUCUCUGAAUAGAUUUCAUAGUAGUAAGUGUGUAUACUAUAGUUUAUUUUGUAGUACACAUUUACUAUUAUGAAAUUUGUAUGUGAAAAGUCGUCGUAUCUGGAUGCUUAGGAUGGAUGGAUAAACAAAGUACCCCUUAUUUUAAAAAUCCUUGUAGAGGUUUUGCGCGCCAUUAAAGGUGGGGAAGUAAAUAUAUUUUAAUUGUUCGGUUUAAUUUUUACUGUUCAAGAGGAUGAAUAUAUAAAGAUCUUUUAUUUCGUAAGAAAUAUUAGGUUGAGCUGUCUCUAAAUAAAUUUCAUAGUAGUAAGUGUGCAUUUAUAGUUUAUAUAUUGUAAUGUGCAUUUAUAGUUUAUAUAUUGUAAUGUGCAUUUACUAUUAUGGAAUUUAUGUCUCAAAAAGGUCGUAUUUUAAUGUUUAGGUUGGACGAAUAAACAGGUGUACCCUUAUUUAAGAAAUCCUUGUAAAGGUUUUGCGCGCCUUUAAAGGUGGGGAAGUAAAUAUAUUUUAAUUGUUCGGUUUAAUUUUUACUGUUCAAGAGGAUGAAUAUAUAAAGAUCUUUUAUUUUUUAAGAAAUAUUAGGUUGAGCUAUCUCUUAUUUAAUUAUCGUAUGGUAAAUAUAAAACUAGUUUAUAAAAAAGCUAGUUUUUAUUUUUAUCAUAUGAUAAUUAAUUUUAAAUAGUCGUAUGUUUUAUUAAAACCCUUUGUGAGAGUCUUACGAGCCUUCAAAGGUAGAGGUGUAAUGAAAAUAUUUUGAUCUGUUCCUGUCUUGGUCAAAAUACCCUCAAAAUAUUUUUUAUGUAUACCUUGGGGUUACUUCUUAAUUAAUCAAUACAUAAAUGUAUAUAUAUGAUGUGGCUAUUUUUAUAGCAUGUUGUAUAUAUAUUAUUAUAGAGGUGAUUAAUAAAAAUUCAGUACAAGAGGCGGUUGGUCGGCAAAUAGAAACGAUAUAAUUAUUUUUAAUAAUUAUAGAAAUCCUUAUAGAGGCCAUUGACGAGGCUAUAAAGGUGGGGUGCAUACAUAUAUUUAUAUAAAAGGAUAUAAAUAUAUCUAGUUUAUGAAAUAAAAUGGACAAUAUAAAAUUUGUUCUUGUUUUUUUUUUAAUAAAUCUAGGAUGCACUUUUAAGGUUGAUUUAUUCAUUGUCCUUACAAUAAUAUAAAUAUAUUUAUAUAUAUAUAUAAUGAUGUGGUGAAAACUUAUCAUUAUAUGAUAUUUUUAUAUAUUAUUGUAAUUAUAGAGUGAUUUUUUAUAAUACAAAGAAUUUCAACUGUACAAGAAAUGACGUUAUCCCUUUGACGUAUAAAAAGCCUCGUGGGUAUAACGCACCAAGAGAGGUGGAGAAAAACUACAUUUGAGUUUUUAUUAUGAAGGAAAAUAAUCGUUUCUCAUAUAAAAGCACACAUAUAUAUAUGUAUAUAUAUAUAGUAGUCUUUUUAUCAAAUGGUAUGUUAUUCUUCGAGUUGUUUGCGAAUAUAAAUAAUUAUAAUGUUUUUUGCGAACACUGCAGACAUAAAAAUGUAUUUAUGUUUUUUUUUUUAUAUGUUUAUAUAAAACUGCAGUUAGUAGUUAGUAGUGUAUAGUUAUAUAUUAGUAGUAUUCAACAAAAAGUCGGUAUGUUCAAUAAAUAAAUUCUUUUUAAGGUUUA